UACGUAGGGCGCAAGCGUUGUCCGGAAUUAUUGGGCGUAAAGAGCUCGUAGGCGGUUUUGUCGCGUCUGCUGUGAAAACCUAAGGCUCAACCUUGGGCUUGCAGUGGGUACGGGCAGACUAGAGUGAUGUAGGGGAGACUGGAAUUCCUGGUGUAGCGGUGAAAUGCGCAGAUAUCAGGAGGAACACCGGUGGCGAAGGCGGGUCUCUGGGCCGAUACUGACGCUGAGGAGCGAAAGCGUGGGGAGCGAACAGG
rnacentral:rRNA from 1 species